GCCGUCGUUCAUACUGCGUCGAAUGCACCGGAUCCUAUCUGAACUUUGAAGUUAGGAGUGGAAAGGCCCGGUUAGUAAUGCGGUUGGGGACUCUGCGGGAAUCCGUUUGGGUGAUGAUGGCC
rnacentral:rRNA from 1 species